rnacentral:misc_RNA from 1 species
CAACCUCGAGGGGAAAGAAGUC